rnacentral:rRNA from 1 species
AGGGCACCACCAGGAGUGGAGCCUGCGGCUUAAUUUGACUCAACACGGGAAAACUCACCCGGCCCGGACACUGGAAGGAUUGACAGACUGAGAGCUCUUUCUUGAUUCAGUGGGUGGUGGUGCAUGGCCGUUCUUAGUUGGUGGAGUGAUUUGUCUGGUUAAUUCCGAUAACGAACGAGACUCUAGCCUAUUAAAUAGAUCGUUGGCUCACAAACGCCGGCGAGACUUCUUAGAGGGACAGGCGGCGAUUCAGCCGCACGAAACAGAGCAAUAACAGGUCUGUGAUGCCCUUAGAUGUCCGGGGCCGCACGCGCGCUACACUGAAGUGAUCAGCGUGCAUUUUGAAACCUACUCUGUCAAGAGUGGGGAACCCAAUGAACCUUCUUCGUGAUUGGGAUAGGGGAUUGUAAUUAUUCCCCUUGAACGAGGGAUUCCCAGUAAGCGCGAAUCAUAAGUUUGCGCUGAUUACGUCCCUGCCCUUUGUACACACCGCCCGUCGCUACUACCGAUUGAAUGUUU